rnacentral:rRNA from 1 species
UACGUAGGGGGCAAGCGUUGUCCGGAAUCAUUGGGCGUAAAGAGCGCGUAGGCGGUCCGGUAAGUCGGUUGUGAAAACUGGGGGCUCAACCCUCAGAGGCCGACCGAUACUGUCGGGCUAGAGUCCGGAAGAGGCGAGUGGAAUUCCUGGUGUAGCGGUGAAAUGCGCAGAUAUCAGGAGGAACACCAAUGGCGAAGGCAGCUCGCUAGGACGGUACUGACGCUGAGGCGCGAAAGCGUGGGGAGCAAACAGG